CAGCAGGACCUUCUGGUUCACACCUGCUGAUGCGUGCUCUCCCAGCUCCCACCCACCCAUCUCCUGCUGCUGCCUGAUAAAAGUCUAAAGCAACUGGCGUGGAAAUGACCAAUCAGCCAUAACAAGUUCCAACAGCAAAACAUAUGUUCAGAGCCAUCAAGAAGUACCAAUGGAGUAAACACUGGAGUAUGGAGUAAACACUGGCAAAAUAUUCCAGAAUUUUGAGAAAUCAUGCAGAAAGGCCUGCCUGCCUCUCAUUAAAGCCGUAACUCAAUUGAAAGACGUUUUUCUCCUUCUAAGCCACAGCAUAGUAAUGAAUUUCCUCACUGCUCCCAUCAAUCUCACUAUCUCUUUGUUGUUCUUUAAAAAGUAAAGAGAGACUAUCUCCCUCAGCACGACAAAGUGGAUUUUAAUCAAACAUUUCUGUCAUUGGGAUUGUGCAUGCUUCCAGUGAGGAGGGACUGAUAGAGCUGAUACUUUAACAGCCCCAGGAGAUGCUCACCACCUUCAGCUAGCAAGCAAGCAAGCAACUGAGGAGGGGGUUAGCUUCUUCUGGAGAGAAAGCUCAGACUCUUGAGGAGGAAGUUCAGGUUCUAUAUACAGUGCAUAUAUGUCUUUCUGUUUUCAUAGUUUGUCUCAAACCAAUUACUACUGAAAGAGCCACACAGUUUCUAUUUCCAAGUACUGGUUUUUCAAAUCCUAAAGCUACACGUAUUGAUAGCAGUAUUCUGGAACAGCUGGUUUUUUAAAAAAAUGUGAAGGACAAAAAAAUAUCGCAAGCACCUUGUGCAAGCCUGCACCUCAUCUUGCGUUUGUCUUGGUUGGUGCUCUUCUUCAGAAUGUAAGUGUA